rnacentral:rRNA from 1 species
AACGAACGCUGGCGGCAGGCUUAACACAUGCAAGUCGAACGCCCCGCAAGGGGAGUGGCAGACGGGUGAGUAACGCGUGGGAACAUACCCUUUUCUACGGAAUAGCUCUGGGAAACUGGAAUUAAUACCGUAUACGCCCUACGGGGGAAAGAUUUAUCGGGGAAGGAUUGGCCCGCGUUGGAUUAGCUAGUUGGUGGGGUAAAGGCCUACCAAGGCGACGAUCCAUAGCUGGUCUGAGAGGAUGAUCAGCCACAUUGGGACUGAGACACGGCCCAGACUCCUACGGGAGGCAGCAGUGGGGAAUAUUGGACAAUGGGCGCAAGCCUGAUCCAGCCAUGCCGCGUGAGUGAUGAAGGCCUUAGGGUUGUAAAGCUCUUUCACCGAUGAAGAUAAUGACGGUAGUCGGAGAAGAAGCCCCGGCUAACUUCGUGCCAGCAGCCGCGGUAAGAC